ACUCCUACGGGAGGCAGCAGUGGGGAAUAUUGCACAAUGGGCGCAAGCCUGAUGCAGCCAUGCCGCGUGUAUGAAGAAGGCCUUCGGGUUGUAAAGUACUUUACUAGCAGUGAGGAAGGUGGGUAUGUUAAUAGCAUAUUCAUUUGACGUUAGCUGCAGAAGAAGCACCGGCUAACUCCGUGCCAGCAGCCGCGGUAAUACGGAGGGUGCGAGCGUUAAUCGGAAUUACUGGGCGUAAAGCGCAUGCAGGUGGUUUGUUAAGUCAGAUGUGAAAGCCCGGGGCUCAACCUCGGAAUUGCAUUUGAAACUGGCAAACUAGAGUACUGUAGAGGGGGUAGAAUUUCAGGUGUAGCGGUGAAAUGCGUAGAGAUCUGAAGGAAUACCGGUGGCGAAGGCGGCCCCCUGGACAGAUACUGACACUCAGAUGCGAAAGCGUGGGGAGCAAACAGGAUUAGAUACCCUGGUAGGAUAGCG
rnacentral:rRNA from 1 species